GUGCUCGCUUUGGUAGCACAUAUACUAAAAUUGGAACAAUACAGAGAGGAUGUGCAUGGCCCCUGUACAAAGAUGACACGUAAAUUUUUUUAAGUUAAAGAGUUCAA
ensembl:snRNA U6 U6 spliceosomal RNA